rnacentral:rRNA from 1 species
UACGAAGGGGGCUAGCGUUGCUCGGAAUCACUGGGCGUAAAGGGUGCGUAGGCGGGUCUUUAAGUCAGGGGUGAAAUCCUGGAGCUCAACUCCAGAACUGCCUUUGAUACUGAAGAUCUUGAGUUCGGGAGAGGUGAGUGGAACUGCGAGUGUAGAGGUGAAAUUCGUAGAUAUUCGGAAGAACACCAGUGGCGAAGGCGACUCACUGGACACAUAUUGACGCUGAGGUGCGAAAGCGUGGGGAGCAAACGGG